GCGACUUACCUAAUCUUUGGGUGGGAACAGCAAAGGGCUUGUCGAAUAUAAUCUUUAGACUUUCAUUGUGGCAAUGAAGGUAAACAAGGUACAGGACAAACACAGUGUUCCAGCAAAAUACUGAAAGGAAAGUGAAAAGGUGCUUGAAUCAUAUAUGACAAGAAGAAUAUCUAUUUUGGUUUGUUUGUAGAGGAAACACCAAAGAGGAAAAACAACCCACAUGCUUUCCGACUAAAUUCAGGAGAGUCUCACAGAUAAAUGACUUCCCCUAACGCAAUUGAACGUGUUGUGGUUGAGAGUUGUGCUGAAAAUGAAAGUGAAAAUAAAAACUCUGUAUACUACAGAAUUCAUAAAAUCACAGACAGCAGUUCUAGGCUGUUAACAAUAUGAAUGUUA